AUUACUUUGGCAGAUUAGUGCUUUAAAUUUAGAAUUUAAGUAAAUAUUAAUUAAUAAUAUAGGUAAUA
rnacentral:tRNA from 1 species